AAGUAAAUGACGAACAAAAAUUACAAAUAUCAGAGUUAACAGAAAAAUUCAAUAAAAAGGUGAAGGAAAGUCAUAUUACAGAACAAGAAUUAACUGAAACAAGAAGUAAAUUAUCAAUAUCAGAACUGUAUGUUCAGCAGCUUAGCAAUUCUAAUACUGAAGAAGGAAGUAGACAGCUUGAAGAUUUACAUCAAGAAAAAUUAGAAUUGGAGAAAAAAUUAUCAGAG